CUACCAUUACCUCGCUCGAUAUUUUAUGGAAGGCUCGCCGGGCUGAGCCUGUAGGCUUCGAAAUCAUCGACAAUGUGCUAAUGUAAAGUUGCUUGAGCUUAUGGAAGAUUUUGAAGGCCUGGAUUCCAUGUGUUGAGACUGGCACCAUAUCAGAGGAACAGCUGAGUAUAUGGAGCAGGGAAGCUACGUGCCAGGCAGCAGUGCAGAGCUGGGGCUGCGUGGAGGCUACGAUGGGAUGCGCUGUGGUGCGAAGGAGGAACAUGUGUCUUCCCUCUGCUGCGGGACAGUGCUUUGGCUGCCGUCGCAAAUGCCAGCCCACAGAAGUGGCUCUGGGGCCACAGGGAGAGGGAUGGGACUUUUAGAAAAUCUAAUUUAAGCUUGGCAAGCACUUCCCUCUGAAGGAGGUCAUCUCUUCUCCAGGGUGGCCAGGAGGGAGAAGCUCCUGCCCGGAGCAGCUGCCUGCCCUGCUCAGAGGGAAGGAUACUGGCCCAGUGCCUUCAGGCACUGCCUGGAAACCCCUUGGAGGCAGUGCUAAAGGGAUGAAAUUUCCUUACCAAUUCCCAAGCUGCUCUGACAAAGAUCCCAGGAAUACCCAGGUCUGCAGCGAGGUCCUGCCCCACCACCAGGGACUUCAUUCACCCAUGUGGAGCAGAAAUAAUUGUCCCUCAGCUACCCAGGCUCACUGCCUGCCCCAUUGCAGGAGGCACUAAAGCAGAACAGCUGGAUGGAUCUUGGUGGUAUAUGGAAGGGUUGGAACAAUCCAGGCUCCUGUCACGGGUGGUGCUGGCUCACCAGGAUAGGCAAGGAGCUCACCAUCUCUGGAGUGACAUAUGAAGCAGUGGUGGGUGGCUGGGAGUGGGUCUGCAGGCAGGGGGACAAGCUUUUGUGACAACGAGCUUUGAACUCUUGUAAACACCACAAUCCCACCUGAACUGGUUUUCCUGGGAACUCUGGAAGACUCCACGGCAUCCUGGCACCAUGACCAACAUGACGCUGCUGCUGGGGACAAGCUGAAGCUUUUGUCUUUCCUGGGUGAGUGAACAAGCUGAAGGCUUUAGGUACAGCCACCAGCAUCCUUCCUUCUGGAGCAGGUCACCCCUGGCCACCAAGCCAGGCUGCUCCUUCCCCAGAGCAGUUUGUGAAAAUGAAUUUUUACACUGGCCCAACGCAGUUGGGCUAAAAGAGCUGCCUCACUCAUCCGAGCUCUUUGGGAAGGCUCUUGGGCUGGGGCUUUUGCUGUCCUUAGAAGGGGCCACCAGGAUGUGUGAGUGGAAGUGAGAAAUGAGAUUUCCCGGGAAUAAUCCUCCUACAUGAAACUCAGUGGCAUCUGUGAAAAGUCCCGUGUGCACCAAGACGAUCCACGUGAGGGAGCGUAGAGAGAUGUCUGGAGUGAAACCAUGUCCUAUUAAUUUGCUCAUAACCAUUAGGGUCAGGGUCAGUGGGGUGUCCAGGCUGACCAGAGAGAGAGGCACCAUGGGCCUGGAUCACACAGCUGAGCUCAGCACAGUACAGGGCAGAUCGUGUCACAACCAGAGGCAGAGCCCAUCCUGAGCCUCCCUAGAGCCACUCUCUGCACUGAGGGCUCCUGAAUUGGCUGCCACCUUCCAGGAAUCGGGUUAUUUUGUGACAACCCAAUGAGGACCUCUGCUCGAGAGCCCAGCAGUGACCAGAAAGGUGAAUAAAAAUAAGAUACUUCAUGGGAGAGACUGCAGAGAAGGAUGUCAGGAGUCUCACAAAGGCGUUAGGCAGGCAGGGGGUGUCACCGUGACCUCGCCUGGAGCGCUGUGGGCAGGGCUGCACAUCCCACCUCACAAAUGACAGUCACAGGCACAGAUCUGGAGGAGGGCUGGGAAAAUAGCUCCAAGACUGGCAGACCCUGGGGCUUUUAUAUGCACAAGCUUGGGCCCAUUUGGCUUACAAAGCUCUGGAAGUCCUGAAUCCAGCUGGUUGUUUCUGGGGUGACUGGAGCCAAAGGCUUGCUCCAGUGUUCGGGGAAGUCAGCUGGACUCUGUCUGAAUGCUCUGACCUGCAGUGACAUGGGCUGGUUAAAACCUGACAAGGGAUGCUCUGAAGUAGAAAACUUCUGCCUACAUCAGACCAGGAAGGUGUUCCCAGCUCCAUGCUGUGGGUCAGCAUUGUGCUGUCUGUAUUUCCUUAGGCGUCUGUUAACAAGCCACUGCUAAACAGUGAUAAUCCUCCCGCUGCCAGCCCAGGUCUGAGUGUUUGCUGCAGCAGGAUAAUGUCCCCAGCUAGAGAGUGUGUUUGGAGCCCGUGCAAUGGCCCACUUAAAUCCACGUGAGACUUGAGGGGUCUUGGCAAAGGAGCAACCUAAAUCAAAUUAGGAAGACAAGGGGAUGCUCCCAUGGGCCACCGCCUCGGAGUGAGCCCACAGGACUUGAAACAAUGAUGUUUCCUUUGCCAUGGAACAGUAGAAAUAGGUAAUCCAGAUUAGUUGCUAAGUGCCUCCAGGAGGUAGGAUUAGUAAAAGGAAGAGUCUGCAGCACUCAGCUGGCAGAAUCUCACCAGCACAAAGGUAUGGCUGUAACGGUGCCUUUGCAAGUGUCUGCCUGGACUUAGGGGGCAAAUCAUGGGAAUGACCAUGAGAAACUCUCCAAGGGCCACAGAAGCAAUGCUUAUGUGUAUAGGAGAUGUCUGUGAGUCUGCAGCACCUUGGCUCUCACUCCAAACACCAUGAUUAAAGCAGUGAGCUUACUAAUUUUGGUGUUGUUUUGGCAUAAAGCAUUUGCUACAUCAGUAGAUGUUUGAAUUCACACAGACAACAUGAGCAAUAAAAUGGUAUUUCGUACGUCAGGUUUGUUUUCGCUUUAGAGAACUGGUCAGAAAUGGAAAUUUCUGUUUGAAGACGUUUGAAUUCCCAGUUAUCUGGGUCCUACAUAAGUCAGGAAUUCUGAUGAGCUUUCAGAGGCAAAGCAUCUGCCCUUCAUGGAAGUAGAUUGGUUCUGCACAACAACAGUGCUCAGCAGUUAAGGGUACCUGUUUUGACUCCAUCCUUGGUUCAGCUUGGUGUCUGACCAUACCUUGUUCUGCUUCUCUCCCUGGGGCUUCUUUCCUGUCUGCUCAUCUGGAGAGCUCAUCGAGACUGGGUGAUGCCAGAUCCAAAGGAAAUGAACCUGUGCACCACCUAACCCCUGGUCCCAGGGUGAACAUGGCAUCCCACUGUGGAAGACACCCCCCAGACACCAGGAGCAGUGUUAGAGACGAGAUCUGUGCUGUUCUCUCCAAAAACACAAAGCUCUGGAACAUU